rnacentral:rRNA from 1 species
GGGAAUMUUAGACAAUGGGGGCAACCUGAUCUAGCCAUGCCGCGUGUGUGAUGAAGGCCCUACGGGUCGUAAAGCACUUUCGCCAGAGAUGAUAAUGACAGUAUCUGGUAAAGAAACCCCGGCUAACUCCGUGCCAGCAGCCGCGGUAAUACGGAGGGGGUUAGCGUUGUUCGGAAUUACUGGGCGUAAAGCGCACGUAGGCGGAUUAGUAAGUUAGAGGUGAAAUCCCAGGGCUCAACCCUGGAACUGCCUUUAAUACUGCUAGUCUUGAGUUCGAGAGAGGUAAGUGGAAUUCCGAGUGUAGAGGUGAAAUUCGUAGAUAUUCGGAGGAACACCAGUGGCGAAGGCGGCUUACUGGCUCGAUACUGACGCUGAGGUGCGAAAGUGUGGGGAGCAAACAGGAUUAGAUACCCUGGUAGUCCACACCGUAAACGAUGAAUGCCAGACGUCAGCAAGUAUACUUGUUGGUGUCACACCUAACGGAUUAAGCAUUCCGCCUGGGGAGUACGGUCGCAAKAUUAAAACUCAAAGGAAUUGAC